AAAAAAAAGCUACAAAACUACUACUCUUCUGCACAAUGCAAAGACCCUACUGUGUUCCCAAGAGCCAAAGUCCAUGGUGUCCAAAUCAGCAGAAUUCUCAGUUUUGUCAAUAAGGGGCAGGAGACAGCAUGUGAAGCUACUGAGCCAAGCCAAUGAAGAAAG
rnacentral:lncRNA from 1 species